rnacentral:rRNA from 1 species
AUUGAACGCUAGCGGGAUGCUUUACACAUGCAAGUCGAACGGCAGCGCGGACUUCGGUCUGGCGGCGAGUGGCGAACGGGUGAGUAAUGUAUCGGAACGUACCCAGUAGCGGGGGACAACUACUCGAAAGAGUAGCUAAUACCGCAUACGCCCUACGGGGGAAAGGGGGGGAUCGCAAGACCUCCCCAUAUUGGAGCGGCCGAUAUCGGAUUAGCUAGUUGGUGGGGUAAAGGCCUACCAAGGCGACGAUCCGUAGCUGGUUUGAGAGGACGACCAGCCACACUGGGACUGAGACACGGCCCAGACUCCUACGGGAGGCAGCAGUGGGGAAUUUUGGACAAUGGGGGCAACCCUGAUCCAGCCAUCCCGCGUGUGCGACGAAGGCCUUCGGGUUGUAAAGCACUUUUGGCAGGAAAGAAAUUGCCUGGGUUAAUACCCUGGGUAGAUGACGGUACCUGCAGAAUAAGCACCGGCUAACUACGUGCCAGCCGCCGCCGUAA